rnacentral:rRNA from 1 species
UACGUAGGUGGCAAGCGUUGUCCGGAAUUAUUGGGCGUAAAGCGCGCGCAGGUGGGAUAUUAAGUCUGGUGUUAAAGAUCGGGGCUCAACCCCGUUAAGCAUUUGGAAACUGAUAUUCUUGAGUGCAGGAGAGGAAAGUGGAAUUCCUAGUGUAGCGGUGAAAUGCGUAGAUAUUAGGAGGAACACCAGUGGCGAAGGCGACUUUCUGGACUGUGUCUGACACUGAGGCGCGAAAGCUAGGGAAG